rnacentral:rRNA from 1 species
CCUACGGGAGGCAGCAGUGAGGAAUAUUGGUCAAUGGGCGAGAGCCUGAACCAGCAAAGUCGCGUGAAGGAUGACGGCCCUCCGGGUUGAAAACUUCUUUUGUCAGGGAGAUAAUGGGUGCACGCGUGGGCUUAGCGAGAGUACCUGAAGAAAAAGCAUCGGCUAACUCAGUGCCAGCAGCCGCGGUAAUACGGAGGAUGCGAGGGUUAGACGGAUUUAUUGGGUUAAAAGGGUUCGUAGGCUGAAUAUCAAGUCAGCGGUAAAAAUUCGGGGCUCAACCCCGUCGUGCCGUUGAAACUGAUGUUCUUGAGUGGGCGAGAAGUAUGCGGAAUGCGUGGUGUAGCGGUGAAAUGCAUAGAUAUCACGCAGAACUCCGAUUGCGAAGGCAGCAUACCGGCGCCCAACUGACGCUGAAGCACGAAAGCGUGGGUAUCGAACAGGAUUAGAUACCCCAGUAGUG